CCAGACUCCUACGGGAGGCAGCAGUGGGGAAUAUUGCACAAUGGGGGGAACCCUGAUGCAGCGACGCCGCGUGGGCGAGGAAGUAUUUCGGUAUGUAAAGCCCUAUCGGCAGGGAAGAAGAAAUGACGGUACCUGAAUAAGAAGCACCGGCUAAAUACGUGCCAGCAGCCGCGGUAAUACGUAUGGGGCAAGCGUUAUCCGGAUUUACUGGGCGUAAAGGGAGCGUAGGCGGCGAUGCAAGUCAGAAGUGAAAGCCCGGGGCUCAACUCCGGGACUGCUUUUGAAACUGUAUGGCUAGAUUGCAGGAGAGGCAAGUGGAAUUCCUAGUGUAGCGGUGAAAUGCGUAGAUAUUAGGAGGAACACCAGUGGCGAAGGCGGCUUGCUGGACUGUAAAUGACGCUGAGGCUCGAAAGCGUGGGGAGCAAACAGGAUUAGAUACCCUAGUAUG
rnacentral:rRNA from 1 species